rnacentral:rRNA from 1 species
GACGAACGCUGGCGGCGUGCUUAACACAUGCAAGUCGAACGGAAAGGCCUGCUUUCCCUUGUGGAUUGCGGGUACUCGAGUGGCGAACGGGUGAGUAACACGUGAGUGAUCUGCCCCCAACUUGGGUAUAAGCCUGGGAAACUGGGUCUAAUUCCCGAUCGGACUGCAGGGUGGUGCCUGUGGUGGAAAACGAUUUUCUAGUGGUUGGGGAUGAGCUCGCGGCCUAUCAGCUUGUUGGUGGGGUAAUGGCCUACCAAGGCGGCGACGGGUAGCCGGCCUGAGAGGGUGGACGGCCACAUUGGGACUGAGAUACGGCCCAGACUCCUACGGGAGGCAGCAGUGGGGAAUAUUGCACAAUGGGCGGAAGCCUGAUGCAGCGACGCCGCGUGGGGGAUGACGGCCUUCGGGUUGUAAACUCCUUUCGACCGCGAGGAAGCCACCUGGUUGGAAGGGUGGUGACGGUAGUGGUAGAAGAAGCACCGGCUAACUACGUG